rnacentral:lncRNA from 1 species
GUAAAUAUCUAGGAGUAGGAUUGCUGAGUUAUACGUUAAGUGUAUGUUUAAUCUUAUAAAAAACUGCCAAACGGUUUUCCAGAGCGAUAGGACCAUUUACAUUCCUACCGGCAAUAUAUGAGAGUCCCAGGUGCUCAGGGUUCUCUUCCACACUUGAUACUGUCAGUUUCUGUUUGUUUUUAGCCCUUUGAAUAGGACUCGCAGUGUGAUUUCACUGUUUUUAAUUUGCAUUUCUAUGGUGACCACUGAUGUUGAGCGUCCUUUUAUACUCUUAUUUGUCGUGCGUAGAUCUUCCUGGGUGAAGAGUCUGUUCAAAUAUUUUCCGACUUGGUAAUUGGGUUGUUGUCUUAUUAGAGGUAUCCUUGGCUUCUCAACAGUUCACUUCACACCAGUUCACUUUUACAAAAGGACCUACAUUAGUACCUGUUUUCGCUAACCGAAUGAAAUCCGAAGAUGAUAAUUCAGUUUCACAAAAAGUGACAAAAGAGCAAAAAUAAUGUUCAGCAUCUGUUUCGUAGUGAGCCGUUACGGAGGCAGCACGAACCCGAGCAGCGAGAGUAGCGCCGCCAAGCUCCUUUCCCAGGAACUGCACUCAGCGUCUCCGCAGCAAGCCGCCAUUGCUUUGAACGGCGCCUGUGAGCACCUGGGCUUUAUCUUGAUUUAUUUUGUGCCUCUGUUAGCAAGAUGUGUCCUAAGGUUAAUGACAAAGAUAUGAGUGCGGUAUCUAGGACAUGGCAGGUCCUCAAAGCCUGGAAGCAUGAAGGAAAGUGUGUCGCUGCUGCUGUACGGGCCUAAAUUCUCUGAGCCUUGCUCAUCGUUGACUUACUGUGUCAGUUACAGGGAGAGGUUAACAGCUCCCACUGUGCUGUGAACUUGCUCAUUUUUAUUUUGCUUUCCUUGCUUUUUCCUUUUGUUCUACCUGUUUUGAAGUUAUCACAUGUAUAUACAUUUUUUUAAAGUUUAUUUGUUUGAGUAAUCUCUACACCCAACGUGGGGCUCAAACUCACGACCCCAAGAUCAAGAGUCACGUGCUCUUCCGACCGAGCCAGCCAGGCGCCCCUAUAUGUAUAUAAAUGUAA